rnacentral:rRNA from 1 species
UACGGAGGAUGCGAGCGUUAUCCGGAUUUAUUGGGUUUAAAGGGUGCGUAGGCGGGCAUUUAAGCCGGCGGUCAAAUGUCGGGGCUCAACCCCGGCCUGCCGUCGGAACUGGGUGCCUUGAGUGGGCGAGAAGUAUGCGGAAUGCGUGGUGUAGCGGUGAAAUGCAUAGAUAUCACGCGGAACCCCGAUUGCGAAGGCAGCAUACCGGCGCCCGACUGACGCUGAGGCACGAAAGUGCGGGUAUCGAACAGG